GGCGGCAAACAUUUGUUUUGAUGCUCUGCUCAGUGUGUUGUGCUCGCUUCACACCUGUCUCUUCCGCUUAUGUUGCGCAACUUCGUAUUCACAUUUUCCUGAUACUUAAACUUAAGGCACGUUCAGUCAGUAUCACUUUCCUCAGUACUUGAAAAUUUGAGAUUAUGCACAAAACUGACCGUUUAAGUUUCCACCUUCCAGCUUUAUCACGUUAAAUCGUAAAAGCGAACUCUACAAUGUUAGUUAUUUUUACCCACGUUUUGAGUAUGAAAUGCGCGAUUGAAACGGGAAGUGGAUAGACAUCACGGCUCCUUCUAUUCAAAUGCCUAAAUACGUGGAUGACAAUUUGGAUUGAAGUUAAGUGAUCAGUUCUACUUGAUGAAAGACUCGUCAUCAUAUAUUGCCCUGAAAGGCAAAAGACUCUUUAACGAGGAGUAAAAAAGCAAAAGGAGUGGAACAGAGUCGAAAGGUAGAGACCAAGAAAUCUGUACGAUCAGAGACAUUGAACUAAAAAUUAAGAGAGAUAAAAACCAACUAGAGACAAGGAUCAGAACAAGACAUGAACAUCAAGUAAAUCCCACGCUGGAGUCUGAGGAUUGGGGGCAAACAACAAACCACUUAAAGGAGUAUCAUUCAAUAUUGGACCUUAGUUCUCGAUUUUUCCUAGCAAAACUUAAACGAUGGUUUUUUAAGACCAUUCGGAAACAGGAUUUUUUGUCAAACUCCAGGGUAUAUGGAUUGCACACCUGUCCAUCAUUUAACGAACUUAAUUGCUUUUAGUAAAAGCAAUUGCACAUAACUAAGAAACACUGA